rnacentral:lncRNA from 1 species
UGCUUAUGUGAUAUAUGAGAUGUAAGUUAUGAUAUGAUCAUGUUUAGAUCUAUGUUACAUAAGAUAUACAUGAUUAGAUCUUGUUUAUCAUGAGAUGUAUAAGUGAUAUGCAUAUAUAAUACAUGUAGAUAUAGUUUAUUAGAUCUAAAAUAUAUGAGAUGUAUGUAAUUAGAUCUAAAUAUACAUGAGAUGUAUAAUUGAUCAAACCUA